GAUGAACGCUGGCGGCGUGCCUAAUACAUGCAAGUCGAGCGAACAGAUGAGGAGCUUGCUCCUCUGACGUUAGCGGCGGACGGGUGAGUAACACGUGGAUAACCUACCUAUAAGACUGGGAUAACUUCGGGAAACCGGAGCUAAUACCGGAUAAUAUAUUGAACCGCAUGGUUCAAUAGUGAAAGACGGUUUUGCUGUCACUUAUAGAUGGAUCCGCGCCGCAUUAGCUAGUUGGUAAGGUAACGGCUUACCAAGGCAACGAUGCGUAGCCGACCUGAGAGGGGGAUCGGCCACACUGGAACUGAGACACGGUCCAGACCCCUAAGGGAGGCAGCAGUAGGGGAUCUUCCGGAAUGGGCGGAAGCCUGACGGAGCAACGGCGCGUGAGUGAUGAAGGUCUUCGGAUCGGAAAACUUUGUUAUUAGGGAAGAAAAAAUGUGUAAAGAACUAUUCACGUCUUGACGGUAACUAAUCAGAAAGCCACGGCUAACUACGUG
rnacentral:rRNA from 1 species